AUACAGAGGGUGCAAGCGUUAAUCGGAAUGACUGGGCGUAAAGGGCGCGUAGGCGGUCUCUUAAGUCAGAUGUGAAAGCCCGGGGCUUAACCCCGGAAGUGCAUUUGAAACUAAGGGACUUGAGUAUGGGAGAGGGAAGUGGAAUUCCUGGUGUAGCGGUGAAAUGCGUAGAUAUCAGGAGGAACACCGGUGGCGAAGGCGACUUCCUGGACCAAUACUGACGCUGAGGCGCGAAGGCGUGGGGAGCAAACAGGAUUAGAAACCCCGGUAGUCC
rnacentral:rRNA from 1 species